AAACAAUAACACGAAAUCCUGAAAAUAACCACAUACAAAAAGAAGUUAUAAUCAAAGUACUGAAGUACUGAACAUCGGAUGACCGCAAGUUUCAAGCACUUGUCUAAAAAGAAAAUCGCAUUUCUGUACCUGAAAGUGAGGUGAAUGUACAUAAAUAUGUUAUUUUUUUCUGAGACAAGUUUGUGCGUGGAUUGUGAAUAAAUGACAC
rnacentral:lncRNA from 1 species